rnacentral:rRNA from 1 species
GAUGAACGCUGGCGGCGUGCCUAAUACAUGCAAGUCGAGCGAACAGACGAGGAGCUUGCUCCACUGACGUUAGCGGCGGAAGGGUGAGUAACACGUGGAUAACCUACCUAUAAAACUGGGAUAACUUCGGGAAACCGGAGCUUAUACCGGAUAAUAUAUUAAACCGCAUGGUUCAAUAGUGAAAGACGGUUUUGCUGUCACUUAUAGAUGGAUCCGCGCCGCAUUAGCUAGUUGGUAAGGUAACGGCUUACCAAGGCGACGAUGCGUAGCCGACCUGAGAGGGUGAUCGGCCACACUGGAACUGAGACACGGUCCAGACUCCUACGGGAGGCAGCAGUAGGGAAUCUUCCGCAAUGGGCGAAAGCCUGACGGAGCAACGCCGCGUGAGUGAUGAAGGUCUUCGGAUCGUAAAACUCUGUUAUUAGGGAAGAACAAAUGUGUAAGUAACUAUGCACGUAUUGACGGUACCUUAUCAGAAAGCCACGGCUAACUACGUG